CGUAUCUUGAACGAGGUUGAGUAUGUUAUACUGUUUCCACUCAAUAUUUGGAGUGCGAAAUCUUGCCAAUGUUCUCACACCUGGUUCAUUUUAGCUUUACUAUUGCCAUUUUGGUGGGCCAUACUUGUAAUUUUUAUGUUGAUUGAGUUAUAUCUAGUAUUGCUAUGUGCUUGCUUCCUCGAAGGCUUGGAAAUCCGGUUUCAAUUGCUCGCAAUAGGAUUGGAAAUCUGGUUUCUUUCACAGAAGAUUUUCCUCUGCUGAACUUGCUACGAGGACUGGUAUAAUCUAGGUGGUUUUCAGGUAGGAGGUGGGAUCAAUUCAGAUAAUUCUUUGCAAUACAUAGAAGAAGGGGCUACCCACGUCAUUGUCACUUCUUAUGUAUUUAAUAAUGGGCAAAACCUUGAAAGGCUUAAAGAUCUUGUUCGUGUUGUUGGAAAAGAAAGGCUUGUUUUAGACCUUAGCUGUAGAAAGAGGGUAUGAAGUUAUCCAGAAUUAUACGUCUUAUGUCCUUCAUUUGUUCACUUUCUUUACGAGGCUAAGCAGUCUCAUUAGACUACGUAUUCUUGAGCAGUUUUAAUUAUUGCCUUUGAAAUAUCAGUUUAUUAAAACUCAGAUCAUAUUAUGAAUGCUAGAACACAGUGGACGAG